rnacentral:rRNA from 1 species
UACGUAGGGCGCAAGCGUUAUCCGGAAUUAUUGGGCGUAAAGAGCUCGUAGGCGGUUUGUCGCGUCUGCCGUGAAAGUCCGGGGUUCAACUCCGAAUCUGCAGUGGGUACGGGCAGACUAGAGUGCGGUAGGGGAGAUUGGAAUUCCUGGUGUAGCGGUGGAAUGCGCAGAUAUCAGGAGGAACACCGAUGGCGAAGGCAGAUCUCUGGGCCGUAACUGACGCUGAGGAGCGAAAGCAUGGGGAGCGAACAGG